UCUGAUGUCCCUGGAAGCUGAGCAACAUCGGAAUGAAUUUUAAAAGUUCAGUUUAUGGACCACUCAUGGCCAGAGAACCCAAACUAAACCUGCAGAAAAGUUCAGCCCUGGACCUGGCCAGAAGUCUAUUUAUCAAGCAAGGGUUUACUGAGCAUCUACCAAAUGGACAACACGCGUGCAGCCCUGGAAAUGUGAGUGAAGAGACUUAGUCCACAAGAUGGAGACAAGUCACAGGAUACGUCCUAGUUGUGCCCACCAUGAAGCUGAUUCCUUCCCAACCAAAACAGGCAGACACCUCUGAAUCUCUGAGGUGGGCAAGCAUAAAAUUCACUGUUUUCAGAUCACUGACUACUUGGAAGAGGAAACUAACCAUAAAGCAAUUAUACACCAAUAAAAAAAUUUUGAUAGGAAAAAACAGACAAACCACUUCUUUUGAAAUUUCUCAUCAUUCAAGAAGGUAUAGGAAAAUUAUUUUAAUCACUGGGCAUACGGGGUUAAAAAUGCUGAAUACUACUGUUUCCAAAGCACCUUUUAUAAAUUCAUUCAGGUAACUUGACAAUGAGAAGGCAGCGACAGAGGAUGAAA